UCGAGGGGCAGCACGGUGUAGCAAUACACUGGUGGCGACCGGCGCACGGGUGCGUAACGCGUAUGCAACCUACCCAUAACAGGGGGAUAACACUGAGAAAUUGGUACUAAUACCCCAUAACAUCAUGAAAGGCAUCUUUUAUGGUUGAAAAUUCCGAUGGUUAGAGAUGGGCAUGCGUUGUAUUAGCUAGUUGGUGAGGUAACGGCCCACCUAGUCUUCGAUGGAUAGGGGUUCUGAGAGGAAGGUCCCCACAUUGGAACUGAGACACGGUCCAAACUCC
rnacentral:rRNA from 1 species